rnacentral:lncRNA from 1 species
UUUGGACCUUUUUUGCUGUUGGGCUGAUGUUAUUGGGCUGCCAAGGGACUGGGCUUGCUGGCUGUUGGAAUGGGUCUGAGUUGGGCCUGCGUUACUGGGCUGGCACAAUAGGCCUGCUACAGGCCUGCUAUUUUUUCUUUCUUCUGCUGCUUGGGCUGCCACUGCUGUUGGGCUGAAUUCAACCUGCUGUUGAACUGCUGCUGGGGGCUGCUGCAACGGGUCGGGUCAAUUCACACGGGUCGGGUCAAUUCGAACGGGUCGGGUCAAAUAGACCCGACUGUUAUAUAUAUAUUUUUUAUAUUUUUCUUUUUUCCUUUUCUUUCAUUUUUCUCUUUUUUCUUUCUUUUUUUUCUCUUUUUCUUUCUUUCUUUCUUCUUUCUUCCCUUCGACUUUGCUCGUCCUCGCCGUCGCCGCUUCCUCCGCCCGGUGCGACGGUCUCCGGCGUCUCCUCUUCUCUUCUUCUUUCUUCUUCUCUUUCUUCUUGGCUGCUUCUUUUUCUUCUUGGUUGUUUUUUUUGUUGAUUUCUUGCUGUUUUUUUUUGCUUUGCUUUGUAGGUGUUGACGACGGCGGUGCUACGGCGGAGGAUACGGUGGCACGGAUGUGGCGGUGGUGGGGGCUCUUUGGCUUGCUGCUGGUUUUAUUUUUUUUGAACUUUCUCUGCUCUUUUUUUUCUUUUGUAUUUGAAAUUUGAGAACCCCCCUCUUCCCUUUCAAUUUCUUCCUUUUAAUCUGCUCACUUUGUCUUCUUUCUCUUUGUUUGCAGGUGGCAGUGGAGCAAUCAUGGCCUAGGGAGGCUGCUGGAGUAGCUCGGCUACCGAUUGGGUGAUUUGACAAGUCUAGAAGGACUAAAUUGUAGAUGGCGCAAAGUUUCUGGGGCAAAAUGAAAUUUUAUUAAAAUAUAGGGCUGAAGUGUAAUUUCUAAAAAGUUUAGGGGCCCAAAUAUAAUUUACAAAAUAUUAGGGGUUAAAAUGUAAUUUUUGAAAAAAUUGGGGGCCAAAAUAUAAUUUUCAAAAAGUACAGAGGUUAAAAUGUAAUUUUUAUUUUUUGCAUUUUAUAUUUUUUUCGAGAUUUUUUAUUACUACUAUUUUAUUAAUAUUUAAAAUAGAAAUUAAAAAUGGACUAAGACAAUUCCAAAAUAAAAUCCUAAUGGGCCCAAUCGUUGGGCCUAUAUGAGACCAGCCCGGCCCGAGACCCUACCUUGGCAAAAUUUAGUGAUUACAAUAACAAUAAGCAAUAUUUCAAAUCUUGUAUUUAAU